rnacentral:rRNA from 1 species
CGGUGGAGCAUGUGGUUUAAUUCGAAGCAACGCGCAGAACCUUACCAGCCUUUGACAUGGCAGGACGAUUUUCAGAGAUGGAUCUCUUCCAGCAAUGGACCUGCACACAGGUGCUGCAUGGCUGUCGUCAGCUCGUGUCGUGAGAUGUUGGGUUAAGUCCCGCAACGAGCGCAACCCUCGCCUUUAGUUGCCAUCAUUCAGUUGGGCACUCUAAAGGGACUGCCGGUGAUAAGCCGCGAGGAAGUGGGGAUGACGUCAAGUCCUCAUGGCCCUUACGGCCUGGGCUACACACGUGCUACAAUGGUCGGUACAAAGGGUUGCCAAGCCGCGAGGUGGAGCUAAUCCCAUAAAACCGAUCGUAGUCCGGAUCGCAGUCUGCAACUCGACUGCGUGAAGUCGGAAUCGCUAGUAAUCGUGAAUCAGAAUGUCACGGUGAAUACGUUCCCGGGCCUU